rnacentral:rRNA from 1 species
UACGAGAGGGGCAAGCGUUAUUCGGAAUGAUUGGGCGUAAAGAGCACGUAGACGGUGAAUGUAGACACCACUCUCCAUCUCAAAGCUCUACUUUGAGGCCGAGUGGUUUGAGAUACGUCACUUGAGUGAGUUAGGGGAACAUAGAAUUCCUAGAGGAGCGGUAAAAUGUGUUGAUUUUAGGAGGAAUACCAACAGCGAAAGCAGUGUUCUGGGACUCGACUGACGUUGAGGUGCGAAGGCGUGGGGAUCAAAAGGG